CAGAACGUGAUUUGGGUUUUCUUGGCAAGGAGGAUCUCCCUCCCUUGCUGUCCCGAGGUGGGUUCCCUCUUCCGAGUGUUUUCCUUUUGAUUCUUAUUUUCUUUUUUCUGUGUUUUUUUUUUACAAAUCGGUGGAAAUAUUUGUGAGGGUUUUUGGAUUUUUUUUUAGGUGUUUAUUUGACUUGGUUGUGUGAGUUUUCUUUACAUGCAGAGAGAGUAUCUUCAUAUCGAUGCUUCUAUUCAACCUAGGUUUGGUAUUUGAUGGUGGUGGCAGCUCGCGGGACAAAGCCUCAAAAGACGCAAAUGGAUCUUCAAAGAGCAAGCUUUCUCCUCUUUUAUUAGUAUUUUCUCAUAUCUGUUUAAAACUCAAUUGAUAAUAUAGUUUUUUCUAAAAAAAUUUUCUUUGCAUGCAACCUCUAAUAAGUUAUGACACAUCGAAGUUUCACUCAUAAAAAAAUAUCCGAACAUCGUAACGCUCGAUACUCAUAGCAACAUAAGACUAGCCUUCUCCUAAAUUGGUCGAGCCUCCCAUUACACAAGUUAUCAUUAGAGAAUAUAAUUUAGAAAAUUCCCAUCAUGCCUAUAAUCGUGGGAUCACUUAUCCACUAGCCAGUACCAAUUGGAUUUUCAAGAUAUUCGAUAACUAACUCCACCUUCUUACAGUAUAAAAGAAAAGUAUAUACAAAGUUCAAGAUACGCAUUCUUACACAUUCAUUCUUAGCACAAGAUAUCUAUUACACUCCCUCUUUCUAGCAAAUUACUGACUUGAGCGUCGGAAUGGCUGCCCGUAGGUGCCAACCACCUCACUCUUUCUUUUUUGCAAAUUGACCAGUCACAUUUCAGCUCAUUUUCAGCAGCAUCAUUUGGUUCUAUUGCCAAAAAUUCAUUAAGUUCAUGUUCAUUUGGAUUAAAUCUGGUUUUCUAUUCAUUUUCUCCCUAUAAAUACCUUUCAUUUCCCUUUACUCUCAAAAUGGUAGAAAACUCAUGAGUUGUUGCUAAGUCUAUUGCUAACAAAGGAGCUUUCAUCUCCUCCACCCUUGAUAGCACAAAACACUCCUUCUCUAAUCAAUGAGACAGAUCUCAACAAUAUAAAUAAUGAGCAGAUGCUUCAAAAUAUCAAAAAGUUGCAGGCAACUCUCGAGCAAUAUAAAACUCAGGAUGAAACCUCAGUUAUGGCUCCCAGAAUAAGGGAGGAAGCUUCAUUCAAGAUUCCGGAAACUCAGACGAAAGCAAUUCAAACACAUUUCAAAAGGAAGGCUGAGCUGAAGGAUGAGGAGGCAUCGAACGAGGCCCCAAAAGACGUCGACUGGAAGUAGUUCAUACAAUAUAAAGGUACCAAAAUGAGCAGGAGAAGGAUUGCAGUUUGGACGAAGCUUUCCCCCUAUCGGAGGAAGUUCUUGCAGAGACAUUUCCCAAGAAGUUCAAGCUGCCUAGUUUGGACAAAUAUGAUGGGACUGCAAACCCUAGGAGUCACCUGGCCAUCUUUCGAACAAUGAUGUAGCUCCAAGAUAUUAAUGAUUUUGUGUUGUGCUGAAUCUUCCUGUCCACACUCACAGGUUUGACUUAGAAGUGGUACCAACAUUUAAGCCUAGGUUCUAUUCACAAAUUUUACACAGCUUGCUAUAUUAUUUAAGUCUAAAUUUGUUACCUAUAUAUCUCCUAAAAAGCUCUUCUCAGACUUGCAGAAAAUCCAACAAGGAGAGAGCGAGCCUUUAAGAAACUUCAUCUCAUAUUUCAAUGCUGAGGCAAUAUAGGUUGAAGAAUUGAAUCACAAAAUAGCGUGCGAGGAGUUGAAGAAGGCAACUCGCAGUAUCAAGUUCAUGGACUCUUUGAUUAAGAACACAACCGCUACUUAUCAGGAGCUAAUAGAUAAGGCACAGAAGUACAUUCGAUUGGAUGAUGAAGUCCACGCCUAAGAGAGGAUAAGAGGACAAGUUAAAAUAAAACCCAAAAGUCAGAAAAGCGACGCUAUGAAGGAGAUUAAAAAAAUUGUCCCAUGUCACGAAGGAGCAAAGACCAAGGUAAGUAUAGGAAUUAUACUCCCUUAAAUGACUUACGCACCCAUAUUUUAAUGUGCAUUAUAAAAAAUGACAAAGAAGUCAAAUGGCCCACUAAGCUUAACCCAGAAAAAGGGAGCAUGCGGAUAGAAUGAAGUUUUGCCAAUUUCAUGAAGAUUAUAGGCACACUACAGAAAAAUGCAGGCAACUAAUGAGAGACUCAUUAGAGAUUAAACCCUGAGGAGGUUUGCUAUAAAAAAUAGAGAAGAAAGGAGGUUAGAACUUGAAGUAAGAACACUAAUGAAUCCUGAUGAAAAUAAACCUGUAAGGGUUAUUCACAUAAUUGCAAAGAGACGAAGUGGCACUAAGGACCUACAGAAAUAGAAUGUUACAGAUAUUUAGCUCUUGAGUUAAAAUCCCGAGUCUUUAACGUAGAGGAUAGUCUGACGUAACAAGGGGGAUGUUGUGUAAUACCCGGAGAGAGUCCGGCAUCGGACUUCUACUUACCGGUAGAGUCCGGGAUGUCGGAAGUAUCUAGAAGGGUUAGAUUUAUAUUUUUCUCACAUGUUUUGCUAUGUUUCAUAGUGUUAAUGCAUAAGGAAAUGAGUUUUUGAGUGAAAUGAACCAAGGCAGAAAAGCCAAGUUUGGCCGCCGAAGUUGAGGUUCGGCCGCUGAACAUGCAUGGCUUUCGGUUUCACGUUUGGCCGCCGAAGGUGGUCUGGCCAGCCACCUAUAAAUGGCCCUCAGUCGGUUGAAGCGGUCAGAGCACCGUUUCUUUUGUCUUCUGAGGUGAAACCCUGUCCUUUGUGAGUUUUCUUUCAUAUUUUCAUUAACUCAUGCACAGAUUUGAUUCGUUUUCAUGAUUAUUUGAAGGUUUUAAGUUAAACACUCAAAGUUGUGAAGUUUGGAGAGUUUGAAGGCAAGUUGCUCCAAAACUCCACGUUAGGAUCGUUCAUGUACUUGUUUUCAAGAGGUAAGUGAAGAUCCUGAGCUUGUUUUUAUGUUUUCUGAAGGUUUUAUGGGGUUUAUGGAGAGAGUUGCAUGAAUAGGGUAAAAAGAGAGGUUUUGAUGAUUUUAUGUGUACAGCUUGUUUUUGUGUUGUGUGAGUUGUGUGUUUGGGGUUUUUAGGUAGUUUUUGACCCCUUUGAGCAUAUACAAGAGUGUAUGCAAGUGAUGGAAGUGAGGUGUGUGAGUUGGAGAGGAGUUUGGUGCAUUUGGCGAGAGGCAGGGCAAGUUUCUGCCCUGCUGAUGAACUCAGGUUCGGCUGCCGAAGGUACAUUCGGCCGCCGAACCCCUGAAGAGGUGUGAGGAGGUGGCUUCGGCUGCCCAAGCUUGCCCCCGAGCUUUUGUACUUUCAGCUCUGGAGGGAAGUUCGGCCGCCGAAGGUGCUGCCGAAGGUUAGAGACUUUCGUCUCUGGAGUCCUUUUGGCCCCCGAAACUUACCCCCGAAAGGGUUCGGCAGCCGAAAGUAGAGAUUCGGCCGCCGAAGGUGCUUGAGUUUCGUCUCUGGAGAGGACUUUCGGCCGCCAAACCUGCCGCCGAAAGUGUUCUGUCCAGCUUUCCUUUGCAUGCUUUGCAUGGAUAUUAGAGUGAGUUUAAGGGGAUUCUUGGGAAGUUUAAUAGAGUUGUUCAUAAGCUAGUUUGGUCCCUCAUUUGAGUCUAUCUGUAUAGGUACAGACCAGAGGAACCAGAGAGAGCAGCAGUGAGUACUGCUCCAGAGUUUACAGAGCCUGCAGAGUCGGUCAGUCCAGAUAGCCAGAGGUGAGUGGAACUAAACGUAACUCUUUUAUUUAACUUGCAUAAUGGAAUGUUUUAGCAUAUCUCACGCAUCAUGAUUAUGCCAUAGGUUGAUUGCAUUAGUAUCCACGAAUAUGUUGCAUUGCAUCGUUGGUUGUUGAUGUGGGUAAAUGCUGAAUGAUCCAAUAGUCUCAGACAGGAAGUCCAGGAGCCUUUGACUACGCCCUGGCAGUAUAGUAAAGACCAGGAGCCUUUGACUACGCCCUGGCAAUGGUAAGUACAGAGGUGUUAUAUACACAUAUACAUAUAUGACAGGAAGACCAGGUGCUCGAUUCUACGCCCUGGCACAGAGUUACUGGGACUAUAUGGUGACAGGUUUACUCUUGAUGUGGUUUGAUUGUGUUAUGAUGCAUUCCAUGAGAUCAUAUUUUAAUGAAUUAUUUUACUGUUCUACUCACUGGGCUAUAGAGCUCAUCCCACUCCCUUAACCCCAGUUUUGCAGGUUCAGUGUACAGUGUACAAGGCAGGUCAGCAGAGCAUAGAAAGAGUAAAGAGAAAUGUAAUAGUAUAGA
rnacentral:lncRNA from 1 species